GGUGUCUUCUGAGGAUUUCAUUUUGGAAAGUCAAAGCAAUUAGGAACGAGAUAAAAUAAAAAUAAAGUCAAAGGGAAAAAGAAGAACUGAUAGGGGGCCGGCUCCCUGCCUCAUAGGCGCCUGGGAGGAGGGGCCCUGGUAACC
rnacentral:lncRNA from 1 species